rnacentral:rRNA from 1 species
GACGAACGCUGGCGGCGUGCCUAACACAUGCAAGUUGAGCGACGAACCAGGGCUUGCCCUGGGGCAAAGCAGCGAACGGGUGAGUAACACGUGGGUAACCUACCCCGAUAACCGGGACAACCCGAGGAAACUCGGGCUAAUACCGGAUGUGCUCACUGGACUUCGGUUCAGUGCGUAAAGGAAGCUUCGGCCUCCGUAUCGGGAGGGGCCCGCGGCCCAUUAGUUUGUUGGUGAGGUAACGGCUCACCAAGACCGCGAUGGGUAGCUGGUCUGAGAGGACGAUCAGCCACACUGGGACUGAGACACGGCCCAGACUCCUACGGGAGGCAGCAGGGGGGAAUCUUGCGCAAUGCGCGAAAGCGUGACGCAGCAACGCCGCGUGGGGGAAGAAGGCCUUCGGGUUGUAAACCCCUUUCAGGAGGGACGAAGGUUCGGCGGUGAAUAGCCGUCCGGACUGACGGUACCUCCACAAGAAGCCCCGGCUAACUACGUG